GCCGGGCAUGGUGGCGCGUGCCUGUAAUCCCAGCUACUCAGGAGGCUGAGGCAGGAGAAUUGCCUGAACCCGGGAGGCGGAGGUUGUGGUGAGCCGAGAUCACGCCAUUGCACUCCAGCCUGGGUAACAAGAGCGAAACUCUGUCUCCAAAAAAAAAAAAAAAGGAAUGAUGGACUUUUUUUUUUUUUGAGACAGAGUUUUGCUCUCGUUGACCAGGCUGGAGUACAGUGACAUCAUCUCGGCUCACUGCAACCUCCGCCUCCCAGGUUCAUGCUAUUCUUGUGCCUCAG
rnacentral:sRNA from 13 species